rnacentral:rRNA from 1 species
UACGAAGGUGGCAAGCGUUGUUCGGAUUUACUGGGCGUACAGGGAGCGUAGGCGGUUGGGUAAGCCCUCCGUGAAAUCUCCGGGCCUAACCCGGAAAGUGCGGAGGGGACUGCUCGGCUAGAGGAUGGGAGAGGAGCGCGGAAUUCCCGGUGUAGCGGUGAAAUGCGUAGAUAUCUGGAGGAAGACCAGUGGCGAAGGCGGUUCUCUGGGCAUUACCUGACGCUGAGGAGCGAAAGUGUGGGGAGCGAACAGG